rnacentral:rRNA from 1 species
UACCAGCACCCCGAGUGGUCGGGACGAUUAUUGGGCCUAAAGCAUCCGUAGCCGGUCCUACAAGUCUUCCGUUAAAUCCACCUGCUUAACUGAGGACGUGCGGAAGAAACUGCAAGGCUCGAGUCCGGGAGAGGGGGGUGGAAUUCCCAGUGUAGCGGUGAAAUGCGUAGAUAUUGGGAGGAACACCAGUGGCGAAGGCGACUUCCUGGCCUGUUCUUGACGCUGAGGCGCGAAAGCUAGGGGAGCAAACGGG